AGAAGCUGUGAUUUCCUGCACGGACUUGUGUAUGAUUAGACCCACCCAUAUCCUUGAGCUGCCUAUCCCAGACCCAGAACCUGUAGGCUGAUACUGAUGCAUUGCCCAAUACAAAGGCAUGAAGACUUACAUCUAUGUUUCUCUCUGAGAGUUCUAUAAUUGCAGCUUCUACACUUGUAAUACUUGGUAUGAGGUAAGGCUCAACUGCGUUCUUUCCCACCCAGUAGUCCAGCAUCAAUUGAGGAAAAGACUGCUCGUUCUCUGGUAAAGACAAGCUUUCUGAGAAAACCUUCCAGAAAGCCAGCAGACAGACACUAAAAACCAACUUGCAGUGAUGUCUUCUCCCCACUCUCCUCUUUAAGCAGUCUUUUGGAGUCCUGUCAUUCACGUUUUUCUCAGCCACGAGCCUUCGAAACUCAGAUGCCUGGGAUUCUGAAAGAGGAUAAAAUCCUACAGAAAACUGCGUUGGCCACGCCUUCCAGUUCUCCCCAGGAUGGUACAAAGUUGGUGCUACCAGGGGUAUAAUAGGAAAGACUCCUCACUCCUUACAACCAUGCCUCUGUGUGCCAGCACCUGAGAAGGACCCUCCAGUGCCCUGCAGUCACAACAGAAAACACGGAACCCAGGGCCUCAGGAGGGAGCAGGGUGGGGAUGGGGGCUGGCUCCCCCACUACCUCCCUAGAUGCCAGAAGCUGUGUUUAUGUCUGCUGAGGCAGACAAGUAGAAGAUUCUUCCCUGGGGAAAGUAUAGAACUCCUUGGAAGAUCUAUGUAUACAUCCUGACAGUGACGUUCUCCCCUCGGCAAGACCCAGAGUUUUCCAUCAGAAUUUGAGCUUCUUUUCCACACUUAUGAACAGUCAUGUGUGUGAGAAACAAAGGCCAAUAUCCACAGACAGAAGAGAGGAACCCCGAGGAAACAGACAAGGAGACGCGAAACGAGCUUUCUCUCACAGCCCAGCUCAGUGAGUGCUUCAGACCCUCCUAACUCUCCGAGGCCCAGCUGGGCUGCUCAGCCUCUCUAUACUAGCUCAGCAUAGUGAGUUCCCCAGAUGCAUCGCCUGCCUGAACCGUCCUUAUACUCACACGCCUAGUUCAGGUAUGAGGCUUGCACACCGGCUCUGGAAAGUUCAGCUCCUCACCCAUUUGUCCGGUUCCCAAACUCUCCGACCCAGCUGGGUUCUCACAGCCUUGCAUGAUCCAGAGUGUCUCAGAUCCCUGCCUGCCUGUGGCAUCUUCACACUCCCAGGCUUAGUUGGGGUUGUGCAACCGCAUACCAGGCAGGCCUGGUAAAUGAUUCAGAUCUCUACCUGUCCCGAUCUGCACACUUUGAAGCCUACCUUGGGCUGUACAGCUUUUGUAUCAGUCCGUGUAGAAACAGCCAGGAGUCCAAUUCACAAGGUUUCUUGGUGCACUGGAAUCACCUUUGGCUCUUCGAUCGAAAUUCAACACUGACUAUCUGUCUGAAAGGCUGAGUUGCUAAACUCUUUAUACUUAAACUGGAACCAACCUAGCUUGGGCAACAGCAAGAGCAGAACCAAAGCUCAGUGCAACAGAGGCAGGCUAGAACCUCGAAUCAGACACAGAACCAAUGAGAGUCCCCAUGCCCAGGUCACAUCACAAAAAUAUAAGCUCCAUGACGGAUUAGGACCAUGUCACCCCCACCUCACUCCACUAAUCCUAUCGAAAUGUUCUCCAUUGAGAACUACCUAGACAGAGCACAGGACACAGAAUUGAACAAUUACAACCUUGGGAAAAUUGGAAAGGAUCUGAAGCUCUGUGAAUUUUUGAUAAAUCCUCAAGUGAAGACCAAGAAAACAGGGACAUAUGACUGAAGCGAUGAAGAUGACUCAGCAUUUGGAACCAAAUGCAGUAAAGAAAUAGGAAUACUGACAGAGAAAUGCAAGAUGAAGUGAAGAUGAAAUUGAAUACCUUGACGAAUCAACUGGAAAACCCAAGGGGAAACCUUACAGGUAGACUGGAUCAAGUAGAAGAUAGAAUCAGGACCCGAAGACAAGGCAGAGGAAUCAAUCGUACUACCCACACAGUGAAUGUAAUGAAUUUUUAAAAACUCAUAAAAAACCAUGACAUGCCAUGAAAAACCCAAAUCUAUGAAUUCUAGGUAUAGAAAAAUAAGAAUACUAGGUUAUGACAUAGAUCAGAUCUCCAACAAGGUCAUAUAAGAAAACAUUGCUGAAUUUAAAAAAAAAAAACCAUACAGAUAAAGGAAGCAUACAGAACAUCAAAUGGACAGGACUAGGAAAGAGACUUCCCACGGCAUACUCUACUUAAAACACAACGUGCAAACAACAAAGAGAGAGGGAGUUGAAGUUGCAAAAGAAAAACUAUAAGUCACAUAUAAAGGAAAAACUCAUCAGAAUAACUGCUGACUUCUCAAUGGAAACUUUAAAAGCCUGAAGAGCCUGGAGCUAUGCACUGCAAGUUCUAAAAGACAACAAGGGACAACCUAGACUGUUUUACCCAGGAAAAUAGGCUGCCGUGCUAAGGAUUGUUGAGAGAGGAAAAGACUAAUUGAUAAAGCGGUCAGCCUGAAUCACACACAAACAACAAAACCAGACUCAGCAGGUUGUAUUUCUAUAUCUGUGCAUACAUGGAGAUAAUAAUCAAAGAAAAAGGCUUUCCAUUUGUGAGGGGUGGAAGGAGUUGAGGGGAGGGAAGGGAAAGAGGACAGUAAUGUGAUUUUAUUUAUUUUUUUUAUUAAAAAUGUAUUAAAGUAAAAAUUAGGAAAACUAUUUGUCAUAGUUGAAAGAGGGAAAUAAAAACUUCUCAGGGGAACUCAUGGAGAUCAAACAAUACAUUACUAAUGAAUCAUUACUAAAUGAUGUUUAAGUCAAAGAAGAGAUCAGUGAAGAAAAAAAUUCCUGGAAGUUAUAUGAAGAUUAAAACACGAUAAUGAAGCAUAAAGAACAGGCCGAUGCUGCACAGUUUUUCUGGGGAGGCACAGACUAUCUCUUCACUCUAGAUAGGAGACUGAGGAUACAUCAAAGGAUGAUGCUACCCAAACCUAACUUGAUAAACCAGUAAGUUGUGCUUACUUACAGAAAUAUGAGUGACUCAGUUGCAUUGUCAAAGAGCUCAAGCCAGGAAGGAUGAUGGCUCCCAGAGCUGCAUCACUAAUGUACCCUACGUAGCUUGCAUCUCCACUUAAAUGGCUCUUCUCCCCGGACACAGUUGUUCCUGACAUAACCCCAGGGAGUCUUGUAGAUUUUCUGAGCUUCCUGUGCCUCCUAAGUUUCAGUAGCUUCUCUCUCUUCUCUCUCUCUCUUCUCUCUCUCGAUAGACCACAUCACGGAAAAUAUCAAGAUUAUACCUGAAAGAUGGAUGUUUUGCCUGCAUUUACGUCCAUCAGCUGCCUGUACACAAUACCGUAGGAAGCCAGAGAAGGUGUUGGAUCUCUGAAACUGGAGCUGCAGAUGGGUGUGUGAGCUGCCAUGUGGGUGCUGGGAACGAAACCCUGGUCUUCUUCCAUUGCCUUUAACUGCUGAGCAUCUCCCUGGCUCUAAGCUUAAAUUCUUAAAUAUUAUUUAUUUUGUGAUGGUAUCUGUUCUGUGAUUCUCUUGGGCAUUUAGAGGUUUUAUUUUGUUCUU
rnacentral:lncRNA from 1 species